rnacentral:rRNA from 1 species
CCUACGUGAUGCAGCAGUGAGGAAUAUUGGUCAAUGGCCGAGAGGCUGAACCAGCCAAGUCGCGUGAGGGAUGACGGCCCUACGGGUUGUCAACCUCUUUUGUCGGGGAGCAAAGAGAGUCACGUGUGGCUCAUUGAGAGUACCCGAAUACAAAGCAUCGGCUAACUCCGUGCCAGCAGCCGCGGUAAUCCGGAGGAUGCGCGUGUUAUCCGGAUUGAUUGGGUUUAAAGGGUGCGCAGGCGGAGGGGCAAGUCCGUGGUCAAAUUGCGGGGCUCCACCCCGUACUGCCGUUGAAACUGCAUCCCUUGAGUGCGCGAGAAGUAUGCGGAAUGCGUGGUGUAGCGGUGAAAUGCAUAGAUAUCACGCAGAACUCCGAUUGCGAAGGCAGCAUACCGGCGCGCAACUGACGCUCAUGCACGAAAGCGUGGGUAUCGAACAGGAUUAGAUACCCCGGUAGUC